GUCUACGGCCAUACCACCCUGAACGCGCCCGAUCUCGUCUGAUCUCGGAAGCUAAGCAGGGUCGGGCCUGGUUAGUACUUGGAUGGGAGAAGCUAUUUAAUAAAUAUUUGUCGAUU
rnacentral:rRNA from 1 species